GGGCCGGUAGCUCAGGUUGGCAGAGCACUUGGCUUUUAACCAAGGGGUCGAGGGUUCAAAUCCCUUCCGGCUCG
rnacentral:tRNA from 1 species